CCUGCCCCUCCAGCCCCACCCUGACAUUUCAAUCGCUGUUGUUUAGGCCUUGCAGGGUAGCCAGAGGCAUCUGGGACAGAGAGAAGCCUUGUCUAGUCCCUCCCCCACUCCAGAGUACUGCCAGGACCUCAGGGCUAAGGGGACACAGCUUCUCCUCUGGUACCGCCAGGGGAUAUGACAGAACAGCCCCAAGGGCUGGGCUCAAUGCAAGACCUUGUUCUGCUGCCGAGAAAGGGGAGAGUGGUUUUGGACGAAUGGAGGCUGACUCCAGGGAAAUGUGUAUUCAUGUGUCUGUGUGGUGGUGGUGGGGAGGGCAGGCCUCCCACGACUGAGAAGCAUCAGUGAGUACUGGAACGGGUCCAAGGAAUUUGUGCAGCCUCAGGCCCCUUGGGGUGUUGCCUCAGGUCCUGCUUCCAUGAAACUGAUGCUGGCUGCCUAGGCUGGAGGACUUCCCUACACCUUUCCAGCUGCCCGAGAGGAAGUGAUGACCUAAGCCAGGCUUUCUGAAGCUAUAAGCCCCGACUCCCCACUUCUAGUAGGUCACAAAACAGUAUCCUCACCACCUUUCUAGGCCUACCCAGAAUCAACGUCAGCAUUAAGACAAGUGGUUCUCCACUGGGUGCACACAAGAGCCAACCAGGGAGCUUUAAUCUCCAGGGAAGGACCUGGGCAUCAAUCACACUAUUUUUAGAAAGGUCCUGGGGGAUUCUAACACAAAGCUAGGGAGAUACUCACCUAGGUAAAUUUCUCUGUGCUACCUGACCUAUCUGAGCAGAAAGGAGGCAACUGGGAAGCUCUGACCCAAACUCACAACCAAGGUCUCCCUGGAGAACUGGAGGAAGUAGUAAGGUUAGCUGGGUGGGACACGGAGAUACAACCCAGAUAAAGCUGGAGAUUUGCCUCACUGUUCAGCUCUCCAGGUUUGAAGAAACCUGAAAAGCUUAAAAAAGAAAAAAAAAGGACUUGGAGACAGGUAACUCUUAAUUGGGGACUAGUGAACCAACUGAACUCAAGAUUUGGUUUGUUGAGUAGGUAUGCAUCUUUUUGGGGAGGGGAGGGAAGAAGGGAAGAUUUUCUGAGUGGUCUAUCCCGAUAAAUAUUAAGAAUGCUUAGCUGGGUGCAGUGGCUCACACCUGUAAUCCUAGCACUUUGGGAGGCUGAGGUGGGUGGAUCACUUGAGGUCAGGAGUCCAAGACCAGCCCCUGACCAAUAUCGUGAAACUUCGUCUUUAAAAAACAGAAAAAAAAAAAAGAAGAACACUUGUUCUAGAAUAAUGUGCUGGGCUUCUCCCAAAAGAAA